UUCCGGUUGAUCCCGCCGGAAGUCACUGCUAUUGGGAUUCGACUAAGCCAUGCGAGUCGUGAGGGUUCGGCCCUCGGCUGACGGCUCAGUAACACGCGGAUAAUCUGCCCUUGGGUGGAAGAUAAUCUCGGGAAACUGAGAAUAAUAUUCCAUAAGCCUAGGAUGCUGGAAUGCACUUAGACUAAAAACUUCGGUGCCCAAGGAUGAGUCUGCGGACUAUCAGGUUGUAGUCAGGGUAACGACCUGACUAGCCUACGACGGAUACGGGUUGUGAGAGCAAUAACCCGGAGAUGAUAUCUGAGACACGAUAUCAGGCCCUACGGGGCGCAGCAGGCGCGAAAACUUCGCAAUGUGCGAAAGCACGACGAGGGAAUCCCAAGUGCUGGCUCGUUAGAGUCAGCUGUUUUUAUGUUUAAAAAGCAUAAAGAGUAAGGGCUGGGUAAGACGGGUGCCAGCCGCCGCGGUAAUACCUGCAGCUCUAGUGGUGGCCGCUAUUACUGGGCCUAAAACGUUCGUAGCCUGUUUAUUAAAUGCCUAGGUAAAUUGUGUGGCUUAACCAUACGAAUUCUGGGUAGACUGGUAAACUUGAAACCGGGAGAAGCUAGAGGUACUUCUGGGGUAGAGGUGAAAUUCUGU
rnacentral:rRNA from 1 species